AUUGAACGCUGGCGGCAGGCCUAACACAUGCAAGUCGAGCGGAUGAAGGGAGCUUGCUCCUGGAUUCAGCGGCGGACGGGUGAGUAAUGCCUAGGAAUCUGCCUGGUAGUGGGGGAUAACGUCCGGAAACGGGCGCUAAUACCGCAUACGUCCUGAGGGAGAAAGUGGGGGAUCUUCGGACCUCGCGCUAUCAGAUGAGCCUAGGUCGGAUUAGCUAGUUGGUGGGGUAAAGGCCUACCAAGGCGACGAUCCGUAACUGGUCUGAGAGGAUGAUCAGUCACACUGGAACUGAGACACGGUCCAGACUCCUACGGGAGGCAGCAGUGGGGAAUAUUGGACAAUGGGCGAAAGCCUGAUCCAGCCAUGCCGCGUGUGUGAAGAAGGUCUUCGGAUUGUAAAGCACUUUAAGUUGGGAGGAAGGGAAGUAAGUGAAUACCUUGCUGUUUUGACGGUACCAACAGAAUAAGCACCGGCUAACUUCGUG
rnacentral:rRNA from 1 species